AUUGAACGCUGGCGGCAGGCUUAACACAUGCAAGUCGAGCGGGGGAAGGUAGCUUGCUACCGGACCUAGCGGCGGACGGGUGAGUAAUGCUUAGGAAUCUGCCUAUUAGUGGGGGACAACAUCUCGAAAGGGAUGCUAAUACCGCAUACGUCCUACGGGAGAAAGCAGGGGAUCUUCGGACCUUGCGCUAAUAGAUGAGCCUAAGUCGGAUUAGCUAGUUGGUGGGGUAAAGGCCUACCAAGGCGACGAUCUGUAGCGGGUCUGAGAGGAUGAUCCGCCACACUGGGACUGAAACACGGCCCAGACUCCUACGGGAGGCAGCAGUGGGGAAUAUUGGACAAUGGGCGGAAGCCUGAUCCAGCCAUGCCGCGUGUGUGAAGAAGGCCUUAUGGUUGUAAAGCACUUUAAGCGAGGAGGAGGCUACUUUAGUUAAUACCUAGAGAUAGUGGACGUUACUCGCAGAAUAAGCACCGGCUAACUCUGUGCCAGCAGCCGCGGUAA
rnacentral:rRNA from 1 species